UACAGAGGGGGCAAGCGUUGUUCGGAAUUAUUGGGCGUAAAGCGCGUGUAGGCGGCCCUGCAAGUCGGAUGUGAAAUCCCACGGCUCAACCGUGGAAGUGCAUUCGAAACUGCAGGGCUAGAGUCCUGGAGAGGAAGGUGGAAUGCUUGGUGUAGAGGUGAAAUUCGUAGAUAUCAAGCGGAACACCGGUGGCGAAGGCGGCGACCUGGGUAGAUACUGACGCUGAGGUGCGAAAGCGUGGGGAGCAAACAGG
rnacentral:rRNA from 1 species